AGAGGCCUCGCGAGGCAGGGCUAGAAGCUGUGGCCUCACCCUUGAGGCCCGGGCACUUCCCGUCUCCUCCCUUGCUCCCCUUCCUCACCCCAAUCCCUACAGCCUCCCGCGCAGCCUGAGCUCUAGGAUUGUGGGUUUUCCAUCCUCCGAAGACAUCACCUUUGCUCAUCUCCCAGGAGAGUCUCGUCCAAAGGAGGGGGGUGCUUUCUGCUUCAGCAGAUCCCACCCCACCCUGGGAUCCGAGGGAGCAAUGGUGGGGCGAGUGAGGGUCUGCCGUAAAUAUCCCCCGACCACCCUCUGGGAAGGUGCUAGAGGCCACAGGCAAAUUUCAGUCUCCCCAUGGAAUAUCUGCUGUGCUGCUGCUGCUGCUGCUGCUGAACUCUUAGGGUCACCUGGAGCACCUUGGGAGCCAGAGAUGCAGCCAAAGAGUGAACAAUGGUACCAAUCCCAAGACCCAUGUGUUAAGAAGAAACCAGCCAAGACUCAGAUCAGGAUUGGGGAGUCCACCCCUCGUUUCCCUUCAGAGCAUUAUUUCCUUGUUUGCUAAGAGGGGCAGGAACUGGAAAACUCAGGCUAGCCCAUCUGAGAAGACUUUCCUGGAGAUGAGCUGGAGGAGGGAGGAGUAAGGCCUUGGAAGGAAACUCCAGGACAGCACCACCUCCCCUACACUGGGACCUCGUCUCUAACUGGCAGAGUGGUCAAUGAAAAAAAGGGCAUGCCUUGGCACAUCAUGGUCAAACUGCUAAAAGCCAAAGACAAGAGAAAAUCUUUUCUUUUUUUUAAUCCCAUCCUAAAGACUAGACAGAACAAUAUUUUCAAUGUCACUCUUUUCUCAUCAAAACCAAUAUAGACCAGAAGACAGUGGAAUAUCUCUAAAAUGCUGAAGGAAAAAAAAAGUCAACUCAGAAUUGUUUUUCUAGUGAAAGUAUUCUUCCAGAAUGAAGAUGAAAUAAAGCUAUUUUCAGAUAAAAGAAAACAGAGAUUCUUGUCGCCAGCAGACCUCCACUAUGAGAAGCGCUAAAGAAAGUUCUUUAGGACGGGCACGAUAGCUCACGCCUAUAAUCCCAGCAUUUUGGGAGGCCAAGGUGGGAGGAUUGCUUGAGCUCGGAAGAUGGAGGCUGCAGUGAGCCAUGACGGUGCCACUGCACUCCAGCUUGGGUGACAGAGUGAGACGCUGUCUCAAAUUGGAAGAGCAGAGCUGCAGACAGGAAUAAGAAGAACGGUAAAUUUGAAGAUGGGACCGUCUAGUUGCAAGAAAACAAGCUCAGGGCUCCCACUGAUUCUACAUUACGGGCUGUGGGUUCCUUGAGGGAGGAAUUUUGUCCUGCAGGCUGUGGCAGCCCUAGGACUCAGCACAUCUAGGUGUCCACCUGCGUCUGUGGAAGAAGAAGAAGAAGAGGAGGAGGAGGAGGAGGAAGAAGAAAGAUGGUGAGAUAUCCUGCAGGAGACCAGGGCCAGGAGGGUGGAGGCCUCUCAAGAAGAGGGAAGCAUGAGGAAGCUCCAGGGCAGGAUGGUUUACCUGCCUGGACAGCAAGAUGAUGGCUACACUAGCCCCCAUUCUCUGGGCGCCUGGAUUUGCCCACCAGAUCUCCUCACCUCUUGCCCUUCACCUCCUGCUGUACCUACAAGGUCUCCCCGAUUCUCAUCUGCCCAUAAUCAUGGACACAGCCCCAGGAUGUGCAGGGUGAGUCCCCAGGGACCCUGAAAGCAUGGGUACUCUUAUGACUGAGGGCGUUACACCAGGGAGAGGGAGCCGGGGAGACUUCCCAGAGAGCUGGUUGGGGGUUAUGAAAGUGGCCUCACGGCUGAUGCGGUGGCUAACACCUGUAAUCCCAGCACUUUGGGAGGCUGAGGCGGGCAGAUUGCUUGAGGUCAGGAGUUCGAGAUCAGCCUGGCCAACAUGGUGAAACCCAGUCUUUACUAAAAAUACAAAAAAAUUACGUGGGCCUGGUGGCACGUGCCUGUAGUGCCGGCUACUCAGGAGGCUGAGGCACAAGAAUCACUUGAACCUGGGAGGCGGAGGCUGCAGUGAGCCGAGAUUGCACCACUGCACUCCAGCCUGGGCGGCAGAGCAAGAUUCUGUCUCAAAAAAAAAAAAAAAGAAAAAGAAAAAAGAAAAAGUGGUCCCAGGCCAGGUGGGAGCAGCAGGCUCUAGGGGAGGAAGUGCAUCCUGUGGAAGAGCAGGGAGCCGCUGGAGGGGUGGGGAGGGAAGGGGCAGCUCCCACCCUCAUCUCCAUCGUCCGCAUGCUGGGGAUACCAGGCCUCUUACUUGGGGUACUUAAGGCUAGACCAGAUGGGGUUCCUGCAUCUUAGGGAGUGACAUUAGGGUGGGGGAAAGGUACCAAAAUGGCCAUGCCUCUGCUGUCUCUUGGGAUCUUGAGAUCUGUGGUGGCCUCUAGGAGUUCUCUGCUGCCAAUAAGUGGUCCAACCAUGUUACAGGAUUGGACCCGGGAUGGCCUUUGUGCUUUAGAGCUGAGGCACUUCCUGCUUCUACCUGAGCUCCUUUUCAACAUAUAGGCCUGGGCACGUAGGCGUCAGGGUCAUGUGGGAGGUGGAGGCCGAGGGGAGAGGUGGGCAGUGGGGAGGGGUACACGGCUAGACCUUGUUGCUCUGCCUCCUCUUGGGACCCCCCAGUGGGAUGGAGCCCAAGUCCUUGGGCAGCACAUGGUCCUCUGCUUCACAGGACACACACCUGUACCCAUCCUCCCCAUCCACUUUUGCUCAGUUUAUUUUGGGGACAGGGCUCUGAAUUGACCUUUGGUCUUUGCAGACUCUCAGGGACCAUCUGGAGUUCCAGCUGGAAUCUGGGCCUGGUGGAGUGGGAGUGGGGCAGGGGCCUGCAUUGGGCUGACUUAGAGAGCACAGUUAUUCCAUCCAUAUGGAAAUAAACAUUUUGGAUUCCUGAUCA
rnacentral:lncRNA from 1 species